CUAUUACUCCCUCCGUUCGGAAUUAUUUAUCGUAAAAAUGGAUGUAUCUCGAUGUAUUUUAGUUCUAGAUACAUCCAUAUCCGAGACAACUAAUUCUGAACGGAGGGAGUACAUC
rfam:Triticum aestivum genome assembly, contig: Triticum_aestivum_CS42_TGACv1_scaffold_294826_4AL